rfam:Thermoplasmatales archaeon DG-70-1 WOR1_52_54_2276, whole genome shotgun sequence.
GCGGGGGUUGCCGAGCCAGGUUAAAGGCGAUGGACUCAAGAUCCAUUCUCGUAGGAGUGCCGGGGUUCAAAUCCCUGCCCCCGCA